AAACGAUGCCGAUGUCGUGGUGCCGAAUAAUGGAGACGCGAAAGAGAAAUCGAGUAGGGCCCUGGGGAGAGUACACGCGCAAGCGAGAAAUUUAAAGGAAAUUGACGGAAGAACACCACAAGGAGUGGAGUGUGCGGCUUAAUUUGACUCAACGCGGGACAACUUACCGGGCCCGACGACCGUAUGAGUGUAACACACGAUAGGUCGAAGAGUGGUGCAUGGCCGUUAACGACGAGUGGAGUGAUCUUUGGGUUAAGUCCGUAAAUUAGUGAGACCUCAGCCGUAAGGGACAGGUGCGCAAAGCACAGGAAGGAUGGGUCAAGGACAGGUCAGUGAUGCCCUUAGAUGGUCCGGGCUGCACGCGCACUACAGUGGUCGCCGAAAUUACCUGAUAAUUUUAAAGGCGAUCGAGAGGAAAUGAGCUUUGUAAGAGGCUCAGGAACGAGGAAUUGCUAGUAAUCGCGGACUCAUUAAGACGCGAUGAAUACGUCCCUGUUCUUUGUACACACCGCCCGUCGUUAUCGAAGAUGAAGAUAGGCGCGAACGAUCUACCAGAAAGUGAGCGCAGGUCUUCAGAUCUGAUACAAGUCGUAACAAGGUAGCUGUAGGAGAACCUGUAGCUGG
rnacentral:rRNA from 1 species